GAUGAACGCUAGCUACAGGCUUAACACAUGCAAGUCGAGGGGCAGCACAAGGCAGCAAUGCUGAGGUGGCGACCGGCGCACGGGUGCGUAACGCGUAUCCAACCUUCCCGUUACUCUUGGAUAGCCUUCCGAAAAGGAGAUUAAUACAAGAUGGUGUUGAAAUUCCGCAUGUUAUUUCAACUAAAGAUUUAUCGGUAACGGAUGGGGAUGCGUUCCAUUAGCUUGUUGGCGGGUAACGGCCCACCAAGGCUUCGAUGGAUAGGGGUUCUGAGAGGAAGGUCCCCCACACUGGAACUGAGACACGGUCCAGACUCCUACGGGAGGCAGCAGUGAGGAAUAUUGGUCAAUGGUCGGAAGACUGAACCAGCCAAGUAGCGUGAAGGAUGAAGGUUCUAUGGAUUGUAAACUUCUUUUGUAUGGGAAUAAAGCCCGCUACGUGUAGCGGUUUGUAUGUACCAUACGAAUAAGCAUCGGCUAACUCCGUG
rnacentral:rRNA from 1 species